rnacentral:rRNA from 1 species
UACAGAGGGGGCAAGCGUUGUUCGGAAUUACUGGGCGUAAAGGGCGCGUAGGCGGCCUGUUAAGUCGAACGUGAAAUCCCCGGGCCUAACCUGGGAACUGCAUUUGUGACUGCAUAGCUAGAGUUUGUCAGAGGGGGGUGGAAUUCCACGUGUAGCAGUGAAAUGCGUAGAUAUGUGGAGGAACACCGAUGGCGAAGGCAGCCCCCUGGGAUGUGACUGACGCUCAUGUACGAAAGCGUGGGGAGCAAACAGG